UGGUUUGGUACCCUUGUUAUCUUUUUCCUUAUUUGCUUGAAACUUUUGGUCAUUAAGUUGUAUUUCCUCAACUUUGUUCUCACUAGAGUCAUAUGAUUGACCAUGACGGAUGCUGUCCUCAUUGAUCGUCUCCAUGACCAGGGAAACUCUACCUGUUUUGGAAGUUGAAGAAGAUUAAAUCAGUUAGGCUAUAAAAUACACGAAGACAUUGAAGGAUUGAUAGCAAGUUAUUGUGAAACAAAGAGGUGAAAAAGCUUACCGUGCAAUUUGGCCCCUCUGGGUGUAGAAGAUGAUAAUGCAGCUACUGAAGUUGCAACGUCUGAAGCAAGAUGAGUCAUCUCCACAGAGCUAUUGAACCAUUGAUAGGGUUUCUCAACUUUUAUCCGGAAAGCAAUCAAAGCUUCCAUUUGCUUAUUCAGCACGACAGCUUCCUUCAUCACUUCUUCCACUUUAGACCUAUAAAACCUGCCUGCUUUGUUAAACUCAUCAUCCAACCUCUUAAAGUAUACCAACUCAUAUUCUCCACCUUCUUCUGCAGCCAUCAGAAAAGUAGUUUUAGGUGGUAGAUCCAUCUUGUUGCACUGAGUUCACCAUAAUGGGUUGGCUCUCAAUAUCUUGUUCAUAGGGAUCCAUGGAAUGGUGGGUUUGUCUCUGAAUGAGUCCACUGAAAGCCCUGUAGAGUGUAAACUUCCUCUUUAGGCCUCCUGGAGCUGCAGGUGGGUUGCUUCUUUCCUUGUAGCGCUGGACAUCUUUCAAAAGGGUCUUCAGAAAACAAAGCCAGCACAGGAAGUAGAGUUAGAAAGGAAGUGAAAUAUUGGCUGAUCAAACUUGAAUGCCCUGUGAAGAAAGUUUCUGAAAGGAUGAUUAUUUAAAAUCAUAGCUUCACCAGAGCAAUGAAAGAAGACCCUUUCUGAUCAUGUUUGCAAGUUGAAAGUUCAGACGAAGGAGCUGUCGUAGGAUAGAAAGCCAUAAACAUAUAUCUUCAGAGCCAAUGAGUGGUAAAUGGUGAGUUUGACAUGGGAAAGAUAAAAGUAAAAGUUCUACUCAAGUUUAUUAACCUUUUGUGGUGCUAAAUUCAGCAUGAUAUUGCCAGACUUGGAAGAGCUGGUAUGAUUGUAUCAAGUAAUUUUCAAUUGGUUCUCUUGUUUAAUAUGGUAC